rnacentral:rRNA from 1 species
GACGAACGCUGGCGGCGUGCUUAACACAUGCAAGUCGAACGGAAAGGCCCUGCUUUUGUGUGGUGCUCGAGUGGCGAACGGGUGAGUAACACGUGAGUAACCUGCCCUUUACUUUGGGAUAACUUCAGGAAACUGGGGCUAAUACCUGAUAGGAGCUCCUGCUGCAUGGUGGGGGUUGGAAAGUUUCGGCGGUUGGGGAUGGACUCGCGGCUUAUCAGCUUGUUGGUGGGGUAGUGGCUUACCAAGGCUUUGACGGGUAGCCGGCAUGGGAGGGUGACCGGCCACAUUGGGACUGCGAUACGGCCCAGACUCCUACGGGAGGCAGCAGUGGGGAAUAUUGCACAAUGGGCGGAAGCCUGAUGCAGCAACGCCGCGUGCGGGAUGACGGCCUUCGGGUUGUAAACCGCUUUAGCCUGUGACGAAGCGUGAGUGACGGUAAUGGGUAAAGAAGCACCGGCUAACUACGUG